AAAGAACCUGAAACCGUUACGGGGGAAGCGGAUUGCAUUAUUCUAGUUUUAACGUGUUCAACCUUUUAGGUGCAUUGACGUUAAAACUUAUCUGCUGUGGAUUUUUGAUAAUUGAACAAUGAAUUAUUAAAGAUUGAGGGCUCCACUUUGUGUGAGGACAGCGGAUUGACGAUGCGAUACGACCCGUCUUGAAACACGGACCAAGGAGUCUAGCGCGGGUGCGAGUCGGAAGGUGUAAAAACCUGUGGGCGAAGUGAAAGCGAGAUAAAACUCUCAGUUUGAGGCGGCAUAUUUUCGUUGAAAAUAGGUCCGACCUUGAGCAGUUGCGCUGGGACCCGAAAGAUGGUGAACUAUGCCGGAGUAGGGCAAAGCCAGAGGAAACUCUGGUGGAGGCUCGUACCGGUGCUGACGUGCAAAUCGCUCGUCGAACUUGGGUAUAGGGGCGAAAGACUAAUC
rnacentral:rRNA from 1 species